CUCUACUUGAACAUGUUUCUGCUUCCUGUGAUUGGAUUUUCCCUAUUCAAUCUUCUUAUAAUUGAGUUCAAUUAUUCUUCCCUUGUUACAGGAUGAGAGUAAAUUGUCUGAAACUUUAUACAUGAUUAGUUUACAAUAGAAUGCCUAGGUUCACUUCCUAAACUUGAAUUUCAUCUACAUAACCUAUUUAGUUGAACCUGGUAAAGCUGGGUUAACCAGUUCCAUACACCUGAAACUUGAUUGUAAAGUUUGACAAGUUAGUACAAUAGUUGCAAUGCAGUUUGUUGCUGUAAUUCCUGAUCCGAAUUACAAUUUAGGCAUGAUGCUUUGUCCUUGUUGAUUCUAAAUAAUCAAAUAAAGAUGUGAACAAAUACCCUAAUUCUACUUCCUGUCUUUUCAUCCUAACUCCCCUAAGAGGGUAAAUUCUUUGCACUUAUUAUAAAAAAUUAUGAACUGUAUAUAGAAAUCAAGGAAAAUGAACCAGAAAGUAAAUGCAUAAUUGUAUUUUAUUCGUGUGUGUUGGUGUAUGAUAUAGGAUAUAUCAAGUACAGAGUUUGUUUUCCUAUCCCAAAAGGCAACAUCAUAGUAAAAUUUUUGAGAUUGGCUAGUAUAGAAAUCAUGCGCACAACGAAUUUGUUUCCGCAUGAGGUCAUGAACGUUUAUAACAAUAUUGAAGGCCAUUUUGUGUUGGAUGUUGCUGAUAAAUAAAGCUAUUAACAGGAAAAUAAGCUGAAAGAGGAAAAUGGGCUUCUAGAGAAAGAGAUUGAAGCAACGAAGACCGAUGUUGAGCUGAUGAAAAAGCAUGGCAGUCGCCCAGAACUCGAUCUGUUCAAUUCUCCACAAUCAGCUAGCAAGGCUAGAUGUGAUGGGAAUAAGGUGCGAAAUUGUUGCAACUAAACAGGAAGCAUUCUCUUUUUCUUUCUGGCAAGUGACGUGCCCAUUGCUUCUAUUUCUAUUAUUUGCUUCUUUGCUUCUGUCUACCAUAUUAUUUGAAGUACAUCCCCUGACUAUCUCAGCACUCUGGUUCCAGUUUCUUUGAUCAAAAUGGAACCUUUCAUUGUUCUAUGCUCAUUUUAAGUUGCAUAAUGCAAAAUAUUAUGUUUCCAAUAAA